GGGCUUGGUGAAAGCUACCGUGUUUGCUACUGGGCAUUGUUAGAGAGUGAAUGCUUAACUGUGGAACACCAUGCAGUUGCCCAUGCAGCGUAGAUGUGGUCAGCAACUUGAUUGGGAUCAGCUCAUGGAUUGCUUUGUGGUUCAGAAGUUCUGGAAAUGGAUGCAGAGGAAAUGUCAGACCACAGGUAGUGGAAUGAUGAUUCAUAUAUAGCAAGUCAUCAGGCCAAAGCACAUGUCCUCCUAAAUGGAAAUCAAUUCUGAUAACAAAGUCAUGUCAGUUUAUCCAGAAAGAUCCCCAUAGAAGAGCCCAUGAGCCACAACUACUGAAGCCUGCACACCUAGAGCCCGUGCUCCACAACAAGAGAAGCCACCACAAUGAGAAGGCUGCGCACUGCAACGAAGAGUAGCCCCCGCUCACCGCAACUAGAGAAAGCCCGCGCGCAGCAAUGAAGACCCAACACAGCCAUAA